AACGAACGCUGGCGGCAUGCCUAACACAUGCAAGUCGAACGAGACCUUCGGGUCUAGUGGCGCACGGGUGCGUAACGCGUGGGAACCUGCCCUUAGGUUCGGAAUAACUCCCCGAAAGGGGUGCUAAUACCGGAUAAUGUCUUCGGACCAAAGAUUUAUCGCCUUUGGAGGGGCCGGCGUUGUUUUGACUGGUCGGUAGGGAAAAAGCCUACCAAGGAGAAGCUCGAUAGCGGGUUUGAGAGGAUGAUCAGCCACACUGGGACUGGGACACGGCCCAGACUCCUACGGGAGGCAGGAGUGGGGAAUAUUGGACAAUGGGCGAAAGCCUGAUCCAGCAAUGCCGCGUGAGUGAUGAAGGCCUUAGGGUUGUAAAGCUCUUUUACCCGGGAUGAUAAUGACAGUACCGGGAGAAUAAGCUCCGGCUAACUCCGUG
rnacentral:rRNA from 1 species